rnacentral:misc_RNA from 1 species
GUUGGCACCUUUCAUUGGACAUGUAGGAAUAUGCAGAGAGGACGGUUCUGCCGUGGCCUUUUCUGGUUCCAACUUUAUUAACAUUGAUGAUUUUGCAUUAGGUUCUGUGGCCAAAUACCUUCAACUAGACAGAAAACAGUGCUGCUUUCCACGAAACCUUGCUGCACACACAUGUAAGCAUGGCUAUAAACACACAGAGUUUGGGUCUGCAAUUACUUGGGAUGAUGCCAUCCAAUCAAGCGUUCGUCAUUUUGAGCACAAAUCGUACAAUAUAUUCACUUGCAACAGCUAUUCUUUUGUUGCUAAUUGCCUGAACAGGCUCUGCUAUGGAGGAUCAAUGGAUUGGAACAUGAUCAAUGUUGGUGCUCUUUUAUUGUUCAAAGGACAUUGGGUUGACAACAUGUCAAUCUUGAGAUCAUUUUCACCUUUUAUGCUAGUUGUAUGCUUUGGCAUUUUCAUGGUGGGAUGGCCUUUUAUGGUAGCAUUAUUGGCUUUCUCACUUCUUCUUUUAGCAUGGUUUAUUUUUGGUACUUACUGUCUCAAAAAUCUGUUGGAUUCCUAGGUUUCUUGUAUCACACUGCUACAAGAUUAAAAUUUGUUAAUCCUUAAUAUGUGAAGAACCCCAUAGACUUUGAUAACUCUG